rnacentral:rRNA from 1 species
CUGGAGGUAUCAGAAGUGCGAAUGCUGACAUAAGUAACGAUAAAGCGGGUGAAAAGCCCGCUCGCCGGAAGACCAAGGGUUCCUGUCCAACGUUAAUCGGGGCAGGGUGAGUCGACCCCUAAGGCGAGGCCGAAAGGCGUAGUCGAUGGGAAACGGGUUAAUAUUCCCGUACUUGGUGUUACUGCGAAGGGGGGACGGAGAAGGCUAUGUUGGCCGGGCGACGGUUGUCCCGGUUUAAGCGUGUAGGUGUGUGUUCCAGGUAAAUCCGGUUCACUUUAACACUGAGGCGUGAUGACGAGGCACUACGGUGCUGAAGCAACAAAUGCCCUGCUUCCAGGAAAAGCCUCUAAGCAUCAGGUAACAUCAAAUCGUACCCCAAACCGACACAGGUGGUCAGGUAGAGAAUACCAAGGCGCUUGAGAGAACUCGGGUGAAGGAACUAGGCAAAAUGGUGCCGUAACUUCGGGAGAAGGCACGCUGACACGUAGGUGAAGUGAUUUACUCAUGGAGCUGAAGUCAGUCGAAGAUACCAGCUGGCUGCAACUGUUUAUUAAAAACACAGCACUGUGCAAACACGAAAGUGGACGUAUACGGUGUGACGCCUGCCCGGUGCCGGAAGGUUAAUUGAUGGGGUCAGCGCAAGCGAAGCUCCUGAUCGAAGCCCCGGUAAACGGCGGCCGUAACUAUAACGGUCCUAAGGUAGCGAAAUUCCUUGUCGGGUAAGUUCCGACCUGCACGAAUGGCGUAAUGAUGGCCAGGCUGUCUCCACCCGAGACUCAGUGAAAUUGAACUCGCUGUGAAGAUGCAGUGUACCCGCGGCAAGACGGAAAGACCCCGUGAACCUUUACUAUAGCUUGACACUGAACAUUGAGCCUUGAUGUGUAGGAUAGGUGGGAGGCUUUGAAGUGUGGACGCCAGUCUGCAUGGAGCCGGCCUUGAAAUACCACCCUUUAAUGUUUGAUGUUCUAACGUGGACCCGUGAUCCGGGUUGCGGACAGUGUCUGGUGGGUAGUUUGACUGGGGCGGUCUCCUCCUAAAGAGUAACGGAGGAGCACGAAGGUUGGCUAAUCCUGGUCGGACAUCAGGAGGUUAGUGCAAUGGCAUAAGCCAGCUUGACUGCGAGCGUGACGGCGCGAGCAGGUGCGAAAGCAGGUCAUAGUGAUCCGGUGGUUCUGAAUGGAAGGGCCAUCGCUCAACGGAUAAAAGGUACUCCGGGGAUAACAGGCUGAUACCGCCCAAGAGUUCAUAUCGACGGCGGUGUUUGGCACCUCGAUGUCGGCUCAUCACAUCCUGGGGCUGAAGUAGGUCCCAAGGGUAUGGCUGUUCGCCAUUUAAAGUGGUACGCGAGCUGGGUUUAGAACGUCGUGAGACAGUUCGGUCCCUAUCUGCCGUGG